rnacentral:tRNA from 1 species
GGCCCCGGGGUGUAAACACGUCGGAUUGCAAAUCCGAAGAAGCAGACUAACGUCUGCCGGGGCUU